AUUUUGAAGUAAGAUAUCUGAACUGAUUUAAUGAAGAAGAAGCAAACAAGCAAAAUGGAAAAAAAAACAGCUCCAUGCCACAAGCAUUGCAGUAUCAAACUGAAUAUGAAUUCUUUGCAUAUGCAUGUGCCCAUUAAAUGACUCAGAACUAAGAUAAUUGCCUGCUAAGGAAGAAGCUGCCUCAUCCUCCAUUUGUUUUACACAGAGAAUCACCUGCAGCAGAUUCGGAAUUGAAGCUGCUGUUGAAACUUGUGAAUCCAUGUCUCUAGAACCGCAGUGAAGACUAACGCAGUCGUCAUGAAAUAUUUUCAUUAGUGUUUUAUUAUUUCAGCCCUUGAGUGGGUUAUCUCCAUUACAUUUUUAUCUACACUAGUGGGAGACAGCUCUAGCGUUUUAUUUUCAUUAGUUUUCCUCUGCUCCCCUUAGGGAAGCUCAGCUGCAUUUGCACAGUUAAACUUACUUAAUUUUGCCCGUCUUUAUCUAAGGCACCUAGAGCAAGCACCGUUUCUUGGGUCAGGCAGCCUUCUAAUGGUUUUUGG
rnacentral:lncRNA from 1 species